GGGCCUAUAGCUCAGCUGGUUAGAGUGCUUCCCUGAUAAGGAAGAGGUCAGUGGUUCGACUCCACUUAGGCCCA
rnacentral:tRNA from 1 species